rnacentral:rRNA from 1 species
UACGUAGGGCGCAAGCGUUGUCCGGAAUUAUUGGGCGUAAAGCGCGUGUAGGCGGCCUGGCAAGUCGGGUGUGAAAGCCCUCAGCUCAACUGAGGAAGUGCGCCCGAAACUGCUGGGCUCGAGUGCCGGAGAGGGUGGCGGAAUUCCCCAAGUAGAGGUGAAAUUCGUAGAGAUGGGGAGGAACACCGGUGGCGAAGGCGGCCACCUGGACGGUCACUGACGCUGAGACGCGAAAGCGUGGGUAGCAAACAGG